rnacentral:tRNA from 1 species
GGUGGCUCAGUGGUAAAGUGCUUGCCUUGCAUGCAGGAAGCCCUGGGUUCGAUUCCUCAGCACCA